rnacentral:rRNA from 1 species
AUUGAACGCUGGCGGCAGGCUUAACACAUGCGAGUCGAGCGGAGAUGAGGUGCUUGCACCUUAUCUUAGCGGCGGACGGGUGAGUAAUGCUUAGGAAUCUGCCUAUUAGUGGGGGACAACAUUCCGAAAGGAAUGCUAAUACCGCAUACGUCCUACGGGAGAAAGCAGGGGAUCUUCGGACCUUGCGCUAAUAGAUGAGCCUAAGUCGGAUUAGCUAGUUGGUGGGGUAAAGGCCUACCAAGGCGACGAUCUGUAGCGGGUCUGAGAGGAUGAUCCGCCACACUGGGACUGAGACACGGCCCAGACUCCUACGGGAGGCAGCAGUGGGGAAUAUUGGACAAUGGGGGGAACCCUGAUCCAGCCAUGCCGCGUGUGUGAAGAAGGCCUUAUGGUUGUAAAGCACUUUAAGCGAGGAGGAGGCUACUGAGACUAAUACUCUUGGAUAGUGGACGUUACUCGCAGAAUAAGCACCGGCUAACUCUGUGCCAGCAGCCGCCGCAG